rnacentral:lncRNA from 1 species
UUCAGGUUCUGACUCUUUUUUUUAAAGCCCCGAUUACGGUUCUGUCUAGGAAUUCUCCUUUUCAGAAGCACACAGCAGAAUGCUGAGCAUGCCAGGCAUGUUUAACAUGCUGUGCUUGGGGCGAUUUCUAGUUUGGUUGAGCCUGCAGUUUCACGCUCACAUUGACUCUUCUGUGAAUGACUUCCUGGAGCCAGGUACUCUUUUAGGUCUUCACAUGUAGCAGCUCAAUCCAUAGUGGUUUUAUGUGCUGUGAUGUUAUCGGCCCCACUUUGCAGAUGAGUAAGCUGAGGUCGUCGCAUGCGUAAUGAUUGCCUGCAGUCACACGCUUGAGUGGUAAAGUCAGAAUUUGAACCUGGGUAGUGUGGCUCAGGAUUUGUUUUUGUGGUCAGAACACUGUUAAUAUGCAACUUCCUG